AACGUAGGAGACAAACGUUAUCCGGAGUUACUGGGCGUAAAGGGCGUGUAGGUGGUUUCGUAAGUCUGGCGUGAAAUUUUUCGGCUUAACCGGGAAAGGUCGUCGGAUACUGCGGAACUAGAGGACGGUAGAGGCGUGUGGAAUUCCGGGUGUAGUGGUGAAAUGCGUAGAGAUCCGGAGGAACACCAGUGGCGAAGGCGACACGCUGGGCCGUACCUGACACUGAUGCGCGACAGCAUGGGAGCAAACAGG
rnacentral:rRNA from 1 species